rnacentral:rRNA from 1 species
AUUGAACGCUGGCGGCAUGCCUUACACAUGCAAGUCGAACGGCAGCAUGAUCUAGCUUGCUAGAUUGAUGGCGAGUGGCGAACGGGUGAGUAAUACAUCGGAACGUGCCCUGUAGUGGGGGAUAACUAGUCGAAAGAUUAGCUAAUACCGCAUACGACCUGAGGGUGAAAGUGGGGGACCGCAAGGCCUCAUGCUAUAGGAGCGGCCGAUGUCUGAUUAGCUAGUUGGUGAGGUAAAGGCUCACCAAGGCGACGAUCAGUAGCUGGUCUGAGAGGACGAUCAGCCACACUGGGACUGAGACACGGCCCAGACUCCUACGGGAGGCAGCAGUGGGGAAUUUUGGACAAUGGGCGAGAGCCUGAUCCAGCAAUGCCGCGUGUGUGAAGAAGGCCUUCGGGUUGUAAAGCACUUUUGUCCGGAAAGAAAUGGCUCUGGUUAAUACCUGGGGUCGAUGACGGUACCGGAAGAAUAAGGACCGGCUAACUACGUG